CAGUCGCCGCGGGAACACGUAGGGUGCAAGCGUUAAUCGGAAUUACUGGGCGUAAAGCGUGCGCAGGCGGUUUGUUAAGACAGAUGUGAAAUCCCCGGGCUCAACCUGGGAACUGCAUUUGUGACUGGCAAGCUAGAGUGUGGCAGAGGGGGGUGGAAUUCCGCGUGUAGCAGUGAAAUGCGUAGAUAUGCGGAGGAACACCGAUGACGAAGGCAGCCCCCUGGGCCAACACUGACGCUCAUGCACGAAAGCGUGGGGAGCAAACAGGAUUAGAUACCCGUGUAGUCCCUGUCUCUUAUAC
rnacentral:rRNA from 1 species